rnacentral:rRNA from 1 species
UACAGGGGGUGCAAACGUUGCUCGGAAUUAUUGGGCGUAAAGCGCGCGUAGGUGGCCUCAUAAGUCCGCUGUGGAAGUCCAAGGCUCAACCUUGGAAAGCCGGUGGAUACUGUGAGGCUAGAGUACGGAAGAGGCGAGUGGAAUUCCUGGUGUAGCGGUGGAAUGCGCAGAUAUCAGGAGGAACACCAAUAGCGAAGGCAGCUCGCUGGGACGUUACUGACACUGAGGCGCGAAAGCGUGGGGAGCGAACAGG